rnacentral:rRNA from 1 species
GACGAACGCUGGCGGCGGGCUUAACACAUGCAAGUCGAACGGAAAGGCCCUGAGAGUUUGGGGUUCUCGAGUGGCGAACGGGGGAGUGACACGUGAGUAACCGGACCUAGACUUUGGGAUAACUUCAGGAAACUGGGGCUAAUACCAUAUAGCAGCCCCUGCUGCAGGGUGAGCGUGGGAAAGUUGCGGCGGGCGGGGAUGGACGCGCGGCUGAUGAGCUUGUUGGUUGGGUAGUGGCUUACCCAGGCUUGGACGGGUAGCCGGCCUGAGAGGGUGACCGGCCACAUUGGGACUGCGGUACGGACCAGACGGCUACGGGAGGCAGUAGUGGGGAAUAUUGCACAAUGGGCGGAAGCCUGAUGCAGCAACGCUGCGUGCGGGAUGACGGCUUUCGGGUUGUAAACCGCUUUAGGCUGUGACGAAGCGUGAGUGACGGUAAUGGGUAAAGAAGCACCGGCUAACUACGUG